CCAGAUCUGACGGGAAAAAGCGCAAUCGGCAGCACUGUUUGUUAGUUAAAUAUUUUGAUCGUUGAACAGUGAAAAAACUGAAACGUUGGACUAAUAAAUUAUUUAUCUAACAUUAAACACAUCUAAAAUUAUUCGUUAUCGAUGGCAAUUGAACCACUGUUCGAUUCACUUCAUCGAACUAGUUCGGGCAGGAACCACGCAACUCCAGUAUAUACAGAAAUCAAAUACGAUUUUUUUUUGCAUCCAGCCUGAAAUUCAAAUCAGAAACCAAGUAAAUAAAUAUUAAAAGGAACAAUAAAUAAUGAAAAUGGAAGAUCUCUUGACGAAGGGUUCGUCGUCGCCGCAGGAGGAAGACGACGAAGAUGAGAAGGCGGAGCUGAAGGCAAAAGUCGCAAUUGCCUCUGAUGAGGGGGUGGAGAACGCUGAGGAUGCUGUGGAGGAGUGCGCUGAAAAGGAAAGCGCGGGUGGAAAGAAGAAAGGCACGCGCAAAAAACGCUCCCUCAACUGGGAAGAAGCGGAGAGGGGACUACUGCUGGAGGUUAUCAAAUCAAAAGUGGCGUUCGUUGAGAACCGUAGUGUGGAUGCCAAGAGUAUCAAAGCCAAGCGUCUGGCCUGGUCCCAAAUCACCAAACAAUUUAAUGCGUUAAACUUUCGGCAUCGACUGCUCGAGCAAAUUCAGGUGCAAUGGCGCAGCAUGAAGAACUCGGCGAAGCGCGAGCAUCAGCAAAAGCAUCCCAAGUCCGAUCCCCUGGAGGGCAUGCGUAUGAUUGAGUUUAUGGAGGAGCUGCAAAAGGAUCCGGUAACCGCGCGGAGCCAAACCCGCGGGGUCAACACCAAUGGCGGCACCGUAAGCACACUCAAGAAGGAACUACUCGAUAUUGACGAAGAUGAGGAUAUGCCGCUGGCCGCCUUGCCAAACUCGACGAAUGCCAGUGAGGACACGUUGCAGACAUCCACCAUGGCCAUACCAUCGCCACCCCCAUCCACCGCUGGCGGUGAUGGGGACUCGCAGCAAGAGAGCGCUCCUUCACAGCCGCCCACUCAACGUCGCAAGCGUGCCAAACCCAAGUCGACGGUUAAUAAAAAUGAUUCCGGGGAUAUGGGAGAGGACAACGAAAAGGUAGCUCCAGUGCGAAAGCGGCGACAGCGCAAUCUCUCGCAGGCUCAGUCAAUAAUAUCAGAUGAAAAUGAAGCGUCCACAACCGUUGCGCCUAGCACAACGCCCCAGCAGUUCUCGUCGGCGGCAACAACGGUUCCCGAAACGAAUAGCCCGCCAGCCGCCACGCAUGACCUCAUCAGCAGCACGGAUAUGGAGCAAAAGUAUAAACAUGACCUUUUCAAGCUGCUGAAACAGGCCCGUCUGGCCGAGAUAGACUAUGCACGCCGCGAGCACGAACAGAAGUUGCGCCUAGAGCAGAUGGAACAGGAAAUAAAAAUGGCAUACUACCGGCAAGAGCAGGACUUGAAGCUUCGACACAUGCGGGAAGAGCACGAUAUAAGGCUCCGGCAACAGCGACGAGAACACGAGGCGCGUCUUGGUAUUUACAGCCUCAAAUGCAGCGGACUAAAUGGAAGCAUACAGGAACAGAUGCCCCUGCCCUCAGCGAAAUGCAACGCCAAAAUGGACUACAAUAAUGUCCACAUGGACGGUGACACUGUCAAGCCAUCGACCAGUGCAGAGGGGAAGCUGGCUCUCAGUGCAGCCUGCAAUUAGUGGGCGUGGUAGGGGGGUCAGAUACACGCUCGCAAUACGAAUUGCCAGAAAUUAGCCUCGAAAUGUAGCCCGACCAAAUCACGGUCAGAUGAAUGAUUUCGAAGACAAAUGAAUGAAUACGAAUACUCAAAAACUACACUCAAGAUGCCACUCGGGCGCCGCCUGCCACGAAAAAUGGACUGUUUUUUUGUGCAUUUCGCACCACACACAAAUACGAGCAUACAGACAAUGCAUUUUCAAUAUAGUAUUACAUAUAUAUUUCUAACGAUUAAGACUCCUGAAAAACAUGAUCAUUUCAAACGCGGUUGUGUCGUACGAAACAAAAAUACUCAAACACACUCUGAAUAAGUUCCCUAUUUGCAAAUCUUUAAAACGCAUACGACGCCCCAAGUCAGUCAGUAUUCUUUAUUGCCACUGUAUUAUUUUUACUUUUUACAUUUUUUAUUUGUAAGUUUUUUUUUACAAAACUUACAAUUUAGACAUAGGUACAUGUCGUAAUUGUAAAUCCCUGUAUGUCUGUUCAUACAUUACCGGAGAAUCUUUUAUAAUUCUUAUAAUCAUAAGUUACUGUACAUCGUGUUCUAUAGCGCAGUAAUGUCCUGUCACUUUGCUUCUGCUUAAUAAAAGGCAUGAUUAAGGCGAGAGCGAAGUAAAGUUAAACUAGAUAAAGAAAAUACAAAUACAUAGUGUGUAAUCAA
rnacentral:misc_RNA from 1 species